rnacentral:rRNA from 1 species
UACGUAGGGGGCGAGCGUUGUCCGGAGUUACUGGGCGUAAAGGGCGUGCAGGCGGGAAGCUAAGUCCGCUGUCAAAGCCCGGGGCUUAACCCCGGAAGGUCGGUGGAGACUGGUUUUCUUGAAGCUGCCAGGGGGAGAUGGAAUUACCGGUGUAGCGGUGAAAUGCGUAGAUAUCGGUAGGAACACCAGUGGCGAAGGCGGUCUCCUGGAGCAGACUUGACGCUGAGGCGCGAAAGCUGGGGGAGCGAACGGG